UACGUAGGGUGCAAGCGUUGUCCGGAAUUAUUGGGCGUAAAGAGCUCGUAGGCGGUUCGUCGCGUCGGCUGUGAAAACCCGGAGCUCAACUCCGGGCCUGCAGUCGAUACGGGCGGACUUGAGUGUUGCAGGGGAGACUGGAAUUCCUGGUGUAGCGGUGAAAUGCGCAGAUAUCAGGAGGAACACCAAUGGCGAAGGCAGAUCUCUGGGCCGUAACUGACGCUGAGGAGCGAAAGCAUGGGGAGCGAACAGG
rnacentral:rRNA from 1 species